rnacentral:rRNA from 1 species
GACGAACGCUGGCGGCGUGCUUAACACAUGCGAGUCGAACGGAAAGGCCCUGCUUUUGUGGGGUGCUCGAGUGCGAACGGGUGAGUAACACGUGAGUAACCUGCCCUUGACUUUGGGAUAACUUCAGGAAACUGGGGCUAAUACCGGAUAGGAGCUCCUGCUGCAUGGUGGGGGUUGGAAAGUUUCGGCGGUUGGGGAUGGACUCGCGGCUUAUCAGCUUGUUGGUGGGGUAGUGGCUUACCAAGGCUUUGACGGGUAGCCGGCCUGAGAGGGUAACCGGCCACAUUGGGACUGAGAUACGGCCCAGACUCCUACGGGAGGCAGCAGUGGGGAAUAUUGCACAAUGGGCGGAAGCCUGAUGCAGCAACGCCGCGUGCGGGAUGACGGCCUUCGGGUUGUAAACCGCUUUCGCCUGUGACGAAGCGUGAGUGACGGUAAUGGGUAAAGAAGCACCGGCUAACUACGUG